rnacentral:rRNA from 1 species
AGCUCCAAUAGCGUAUAUUUAAGUUGUUGCAGUUAAAAAGCUCGUAGUUGGAUCUUGGGACGUAAAGGUCGGUCCGCCUACUCGGUGUGCACCUGCCCUUCCGUCCCUUUUGUCGGCGGCGUGCUCCUGGCCUUAAUUGGCUGGGUCGCGGUUCCGGCGCUGUUACUUUGAAAAAAUUAGAGUGCUCAAAGCAAGCUUAUGCUCUGAAUACAUUAGCAUGGAAUAACGUGAUAGGAGUCUGGUCCUAUUGUGUUGGCCUUCGGGACCGGAGUAAUGAUUAAUAGGGACUGUCGGGGGCAUUCGUAUUUCAUUGUCAGAGGUGAAAUUCUUGGAUUUAUGAAAGACGGACCACUGCGAAAGCAUUUGCCAAGGAUGUUUUCA